CCUACGGGAGGCUGCAGUGAGGAAUAUUGGUCAAUGGCCGGAAGGCUGAACCAGCCAAGCCGCGUGAGGGACGACUGCCCUAUGGGUUGUAAACCACUGUCCCCAGGGACGAAGAUGACGGUACCUGGGGAGGAAGCUCCGGCUAACUACGUGCCAGCAGCCGCGGUAAUACGUAGGGAGCAAGCGUUGUCCGGAAUUCCUGGGGGAAAGGGGGGCGUAGGCGGGAUGGCAAGUUGGGUGGUAAGGCUACCGGCUCAACUGGUAGUCGCACUCAAAACUGCUAUUCUUGAGUGAAGUAGAGGCAGGCGGAAUUCCUAGUGUAGCGGUGAAAUGCGUAGAUAUUAGGAGGAACACCAGUGGCGAAGGCGGCCUGCUGGGCUUUUACUGACGCUGAGGCUCGAAAGUGUGGGGAGCAAACAGGAUUAGAUACCCCGGUAGUC
rnacentral:rRNA from 1 species